GAUCCUGGCUCAGGAUGAACGCUAGCGAUAGGCUUAACACAUGCAAGUCGAGGGGCAGCAUUAUUUUAGCUUGCUAAGAUAGAUGGCGACCGGCGCACGGGUGCGUAACGCGUAUGCAACCUGCCUGUAAUUAGGGAAUAACCCGGUGAAAGUCGGACUAAUACCCUAUAUUCUUCUUUCUCCGCAUGGAGGAGGACGGAAAGAUUUAUUGAUUACAGAUGGGCAUGCGUCCCAUUAG
rnacentral:rRNA from 1 species